UGCUAGUCUGUAGGUAGUGAGUUAUCUCACUUGAUUGUUCACAGUCAGUUACAGACUGAACUGCUUGUUCUACUCUUUCCCCCUUGUCACUACUGCACUUGACUAGUCUUAA
rnacentral:Y_RNA from 1 species